GGGGCUCAGGAGGGAGAGCGGGUCGCCGCCUGGCAAGCGGAAGGUCGCUGGUUCGAUCCCCGGCUAAGACACCUA